rfam:Ornithorhynchus anatinus chromosome 1, whole genome shotgun sequence.
UCCCUCUCAAGGUCGCAUCUGGAGAGUUUCCAGUAGUCUACGAGUGUUGGCUAUGGGAGGGAGAGUCAAGCAGAGGCUUGCCCAUUCCAUUCCUAGCUUAAGCAGUGGCUAGAGAGUGGAAGGAAAUCUGCUACAAGU